rnacentral:lncRNA from 1 species
UUGAAUAAGUUAAAACAUGAUUAUGAUUGAUGAUGUAUAAAUAAUCACACAUAUAGUAAAUUAUUCUGUAUACAUAUUUAUUCUUUUUUUUUAAUUAAGUUAUCAUCAAUACAUAACCUUAUAAAAUGACCACAUAUUUUAAAUCUUGGCACCCCCAUGGAAUCACACACAUCACACAUGAGAACAAACCCUUGCUUCCUUGUAAACUUUUCCUGGUUUACAAAAGUACCCUUUACUUGGAUUACAAUGACUAUCUUGUGAACAAAUACACAAACCUUCUAAAGCACACCCAUUUUNNNNN